rnacentral:ribozyme from 14 species
UUCUUUCCUCUUCGACUUUUUCUUCUUUUUCUUCUUUUUUUUCCUUUUUCUUUGA